UACGGAGGGUGCAAGCGUGGUCCGGAUUUAUUGGGUUUAAAGGGUGCGUAGGCGGCUUUUUAAGUCAGUGGUGAAAUCCAACAGCUCAACUGUUGAACUGCCAUUGAUACUGGAGAGCUUGAGUACAGACGAGGUAGGCGGAAUUUAUGGUGUAGCGGUGAAAUGCAUAGAUACCAUAAAGAACACCGAUUGCGAAGGCAGCUUACUAGGCUGUAACUGACGCUGAGGCACGAAAGUGUGGGGAUCAAACAGG
rnacentral:rRNA from 1 species